rfam:Schistosoma margrebowiei strain Zambia genome assembly, scaffold: SMRZ_scaffold0000553
AUCCAGCUUACCAGUCCCAAACAGGACGAAACGCGCGUCAAACUGGAU